rnacentral:miRNA from 1 species
CCGCGUGAGUGCACGCGUGUGAGUGUGUGUGUGUGUGUGUGCGUGCAUGCGUGCGCGCACACGC